UGGCCUUACCACGGAAAGAAAAUUGUCUC
rnacentral:piRNA from 1 species